AUUGAACGCUGGCGGCAGGCCUAACACAUGCAAGUCGAGCGAGCGGCGGACGGGUGAGUAAUGUAUGGGGAUCUGCCCGAUAGAGGGGGAUAACUACUGGACACGGUGGCUAAUACCGCAUACUAUAGGAUGAACACAUAGGGGGUUAGCUAGUAGGUGGGGUAAAGGUUCACGUAGGCGACUAUCUCUAGAUGGUCGGAGAGGAUGAUAAGCCACACUGGGACUGAGACACGCCCCAGACUCCUACGGGAGGCAGCAGUGGGGAAUAUUGCACAAUGGGCGCAAGCCUGAUGCAGCCAUGCCGCGUGUAUGAAGAAGGCCUUAGGGGUGUAAAGUACUUUCAGCGGGGAGGCGUUACCCGCAGAAGAAGCACCGGCUAACUCCGUGCCAGCAGCCGCGGUAAUUC
rnacentral:rRNA from 1 species